AGCAAGCUUGCUUGCGGAGGCUAGUAGAGCGGCGAAAGGGUGAGUAAUGCAUAGGUAACGUGCCCUGAGCUCGGGGAUAGCCGCGGGAAACCGUGGAUAAUACCCGAUGAGACCACGGUGUCAUAUGGCACAGCGGUCAAAGAUGGGGACCCUUCGGGGCCUAUCGGCUUUGGAGCGGCCUAUGUCCUAUCAGCUUGUUGGUGAGGUAACGGCUCACCAAGGCGACGACGGGUACCGGGACUGAGAGGUUGACCCGGCACAUUGGGACUGAGACACUGCCCAAACUCCUACGGGAGGCUGCAGUCGAGAAUCUUCCCCAAUGGGCGAAAGCCUGAGGGAGCGACGCCGCGUGUGGGAAUAAGCCCUUCGGGGUGUAAACCACUGUCAGGGACCACCAAGCGAUGGGGACAAAUAGUCCCCGGAGUUGAGGAAUCCCAAAGGAAGCCACGGCUAACUUCGUGCCAGCAGCCGCGGUAAGACGAAGGUGGCUAGCGUUGUUCGGAAUCAUUGGGCUUAAAGAGCAUGUAGGCGGCCCAUUAAGCGUCAUGUGAAAUCCCUCGACUNCACCGAGGAACUGCAUGGCGAACUGGUGGGCUUGAGGCAAGUAGGGGCG
rnacentral:rRNA from 1 species